GCCAGGUGCGGUGGCAUGUGCCUGUAAUCCAAGUCACUGGGAGGCUGAGGUUGGUGGAUCAAGUGAGCUGAGGAGCUCUGGGCUGCAGCACACUAUGUGGAACGGGUGUCCACGCUAAGUUCGGUAUCGAUAUGGUGUUCCUGGGGGAGCCCGGGACCACCAGGUUGUCUAAGGAGUGGUGAACCGGCCCAGGUCGGAAACGAAGCAGGUCAAAUCCCCCGUGCUGUCCAGUAGUGGGAUAAUACCUGUGAGUAGAUGCUGCAGUGCAGCCUUGGCGAAACAUCGAGACCUAAUCUUUC
rnacentral:SRP_RNA from 1 species